UACGUAGGGGGCAAGCGUUGUCCGGAUUUAUUGGGCGUAAAGAGCGUGUAGGCGGCCAGAUAGGUCCGUUGUGAAAACUCGAGGCUCAACCUCGAGACGCCGAUGGAAACCAUUUGGCUAGAGUCCGGAAGAGGAGAGUGGAAUUCCUGGUGUAGCGGUGAAAUGCGCAGAUAUCAGGAGGAACACCAAUUGCGAAGGCAGCUCGCUGGGACGUUACUGACGCUGAGACGCGAAAGCGUGGGGAGCAAACAGG
rnacentral:rRNA from 1 species